rnacentral:tRNA from 3 species
GACCGGCUGGCGGAGGCGUGCGAGGCGCUGCUGGCGCUCCAGACCCGGCACGGCUUCGACGCGGCCGUGGCCGGUCAC